UGUAAAGUGUGGACCAUCCUUUCCUUCAGAGCUGUUGCAUGCAGGUGGCGUUCCAUAAAUGCAGCAGGCUCGUGCCCAAGCGGAGGAGAGCAGAGGCCUCUUCGGGGCUUCUCCAGGGUCCCUGGAGUCUCGAGAGCGCGCAGCUUGGCUCGCGGCCGACCCCACAUCCCUUAGAAACCCGCUGUUUUACAGAUGGAGCGGAUGUGGCAAAGCUAGGCUCCAAGCUGGCCCCGGGGACUGGUCCAAUGUGCCCAGGGAUGGGCAUCCUGCUGCCUGCCAGGUCCCGGGCUCCCUCCCUCGAUAGAGCUGGGGAACCCUGCCAAAUUCUCUCUCCAACUUCCCGGCUUUCAUUUAUUCAGAUGUCAGCUCCCCAAGGAUCAUGGUCUGUCUUGUCCGCUGCUGGGUCCCUGGCUCCUAGAACAGUAUCUAGCACGUGGAAAGUGCUCAAUAAAUAGCUGCCGGGUGAACAGAUGGUUGAACAAACAGAGCAUGAUGGGAUAUGGCUGGAGUUUUUAGGGCUGAUGAACCUGAAGUAGGGGGCACAGAUUCCAGAUGCCGCAGAUGGGAGGAUGGAAAGGCUCCAGCACAUCUCUGCAGUUCAAACUUGACCCUGAGGAUUGCGGAAGCCCCUGAUGGACUCUUAGCAGGGGAGAGACUACGGAUUGUUUCUCAAAAGAUACGGCUCUUUGCAAACCCAAGUCUCCUCCAGCAGCGGCCAGGAAAAGAGAGGGGAGUAGAUUCAUCUGGCAUCAGAAAGAGUACAUGUAGCAACAAAGCUAAACUCAAAAACAUUGUGUACAAGUGGGAAUCAAAAAGCAAGUAGAAGAUGAUACAAUUUGAUAUUGUUUAUAUCAAUUACUGAAAAAACAGAAAGUAAAAGUUUGUAUCGAGUUUAUAAAAAAACAAAGCGGGGUAGUGUACCUGGGUGAGUGAGGAGAGCCAGGCUCAAAUCCGGGCACCUCGAAUCCAGGCACCGCUAUGGACUAACAGUAAAAUUCUGGGCAAGUUACUUCACUGGUCCAUGCUUCCGUGUCUUCAUCUGUAAAAGGGGAUGAUAAUAGCAGCACCCAGCCUCAUAGGGUUGCUGGGUGGCUUAAAUGAAUUCAUUCUCUUGUUUUUUAAUGGUCACUUAUUUUUCAGAGAG